GAGUGGGAAGAAACAAGUUUCUAGUACGCUUUUCAGUUCGCUUCAGAAUUAGAGAACUUAAAAAUUAGGAGACACAAAAGCAAGGUUUAUUUUUUUCAAACACAACAAUAAAGGCUUCUAACAGCUGUAAAUAAAAGUCUCAAUGAACAUCUCAUAAGUGUUUCUCUGCAGUCAUCUCUUGGAUAUAUCAUCUGCGAUUUCACAACAUUUGAAACGUCAUAGACCUGAUCCUGCUACAAAGAAGAGUAACACAAUGGUAUUUAUUAUGUGUUGGGUGUGGGUACAGGUGUAGUUUAAGUUAGCAUUAUCCAGUACAUCCAGUUUGACCUCCCUGGCACUAUCUUGUCUGAGCAAGUUGGAAAAAACUGUCUGGAUGCGCUCCAAGAACAUGUCCCUGAACAGGUAUCAGAGGCUGAGUCUACGGUGUGAUGAAACAACAGUCUCCAAUUACACCACAAGCUGCUGUUGCUAGUUAGUGCAACUUUCAGGAUUUCAGUUCAGGUAACAGCCACUUCGAUUUGGCAGCUGCUGCUUUCACUCAGCUGAGAGCAGAGCAACCACGAGGAGGAGGGAGCAGAGCGAGGGGGCCGAGAAGUGGGAAGGGAGGACGAGAGGCUAGCUGGGGAGAGGAGGGAGUCAAUAAGUUGACUGAGAUGUUUACAGCAUUGUUAAAGUACAACGCCACUGAGGUCUGCCACUGAUGUUGGGUAAUGAGAUCUGGCUCACAGUUCAUCCCAAAGGUUUCUGAUGGGGGCUGAGGUCAGGGCUCAGGAUGUUCAGGAAGUUCUGCCCCACCAAACUGGGAAAGAACAUGUCUUCAUGGACCUGGCUGUUCUGCACAGGGGUACUGCCGUGUUGGAACAGGAAAGGGAGAAUCAAAAUUGUUGCUACAGAGUUUGUAGCAGACCGCUGUCUGAGGCACCUUGGAGGGGUCACAACAUUGACCUGAUGGGUUGUGAGAUGACUGACAGGAUGAGAAAGGAGACAUAACCUGUAGAAUGUAAGAAGGAAAUCACACUUUGGCUGACAUGGCAGACAUAUGCAGAGGGUGAUGAGGGUUUCAAGUAGACAUUACCCCCAAGCCAAGAGUGUUGGGAACCACUUCUAUAAUGUAUAAUAAAAAUACCACUUGACAUUUCCUUGUUUCAGGUGAACACUGGAUACUCCCAGUUAAACUUAAAAGGGGAAAGCAAGCUUAGAUGUCAGAAGUAGACAUUACAUCAUUUAAGGGGUAAUACAUUACAGUAUAUCGACAUAUACAAAUCAUACACUCACUCAUAUACAUACUUUAGAAUCAUUUCAAACCACAAUCUUAGUGGGCAGCAGCAUUAAUUGGUACUUCAGAAUUGUAUUUCUCUGCCAGUUUUAAGACGUGACUUGGUGUCUGUGUGGGUGCAGAAAAAAAAGGCUAUGACUGAUUUUGAUUGAUGCCAACAUUCACAAAAUCCCACAGCACCGGUAUUCAUGUGCAUACAGGCAAGAGUUUAACUCAAUCUAAAUGGCAAUAUCAGCACAUUAUAUGCAAAUACAAUCUGAGCCACAGGGAGACAGUUAAUGCAAAUAAAUCACAUUUGCAACACACAGCCAGUUCCACAGCUCCUGCAGCUUCCUGGCCCACACUCCCCCCACGCUUCACACUUGCAAACAAAGUAUUCCCUUUUGGUGUCCAGGCUAUCGUCUGCAAUUGUUUCACACCCUGAGUGUUAAGGAGACAUGUUUAUCACAUGCAUAUCACAGCCUCCAGGGUAUGAUGAACCUUUUAGCUUCUACUUCAGGGGGUGCAGGAAAUAUCAAUCCCCCACCUCUACUUUUGGUUGCAGCCUCAAGUCAGCCAGGGUAGAACUCUCCCUCUCUUUGUAUUGUGUGAUGUGAAAUGUGGUUUUGUUAUACUGAACAACACAAAUAAACUUGACUCUACUUUUGUCAA